AUUGAACGCUGGCGGCAGGCUUAACACAUGCAAGUCGAGCGGAGCGAGGGUGCUUGCACCUUAGCUUAGCGGCGGACGGGUGAGUAAUGCUUAGGAAUCUGCCUAUUAGUGGGGGACAACAUUCCGAAAGGAAUGCUAAUACCGCAUACGCCCUACGGGGGAAAGCAGGGGAUCUUCGGACCUUGCGCUAAUAGAUGAGCCUAAGUCGGAUUAGCUAGUUGGUGGGGUAAAGGCCUACCAAGGCGACGAUCUGUAGCGGGUCUGAGAGGAUGAUCCGCCACACUGGGACUGAGACACGGCCCAGACUCCGACGGGAGGCAGCAGUGGGAAUAUUGGACAAUGGGCGGAAGCCUGAUCCAGCCAUGCCGCGUGUGUGAAGAAGGCCUUUUGGUUGUAAAGCACUUUAAGCGAGGAGGAGGCUACUUAGAUUAAUACUCUGGGAUAGUGGACGUUACUCGCAGAAUAAGCACCGGCUAACUCUGUGCCAGCCGCCGCAGUAA
rnacentral:rRNA from 1 species